rnacentral:rRNA from 1 species
AGUGAACGCUGGCGGUAGGCCUAACACAUGCAAGUCGAACGGCAGCACAGUAAGAGCUUGCUCUUACGGGUGGCGAGUGGCGGACGGGUGAGGAAUACAUCGGAAUCUACUUUUUCGUGGGGGAUAACGUAGGGAAACUUACGCUAAUACCGCAUACGACCUACGGGUGAAAGCAGGGGAUCUUCGGACCUUGCGCGAUUGAAUGAGCCGAUGUCGGAUUAGCUAGUUGGCGGGGUAAAGGCCCACCAAGGCGACGAUCCGUAGCUGGUCUGAGAGGAUGAUAGGCAAAACUGGAACUGAGACACGGUCCAGACUCCUACGGGAGGAAGCAGUGGGGAAUAUUGGACAAUGGGCGCAAGCCUGAUCCAGCAAUACCGCGUGGGUGAAGAAGGCCUUCGGGUUGUAAAGCCCUUUUGUGGGGAAAGAAAAGCAGCAGGUUAAUACCCCGCUGUUCGGACGGUACCCAAAGAAUAGCACCGGCUAACUUCGUG